CUUCUGUAACGUGUCCUUGCCACCCUCUCCCAUCCAGAGGUAAAGUUAUAUCCCCUCCUACUGAAUCCUUAGGUGGGCUUAAGACUGCCUUGAACAAUGGCAUCUGGUGGAAGGAUGCUCUGUGACUUCCGAGGCUAGGUCAGUGAAGGCAGUGCUGCUUCCGCCUUGUGGGACACUUGCUUUUUGGAGUGCUGAGCCAUCAACUAAGAAGUCCAACUAGGCCCUCAUAUUGGUGCUCAGACCACCAGGCUCAGACCACAAGUAGUUGCUCAGACGAAUGGCACCAGCUGAGAUCCCAGCCAACAGCUAGCAUCAGCCUGCAGACAUAUGAGUGAAAACACUUCCAGAUGAUUCCAGUCCCCAAUUGUCAAGCCACUGUGAGCUCUUGAGUCUUCCCAGAGGAGACCCAGAUACCGUGGAGCACAGAGAAGCUAUCCCUGUUGAGACCUAUUUGAAUUCCUGACUCACAGAAUCCACAAAUGUAAUAAAAUGGUUGAAAUGGGGGUGGUUUGUUAUGGAGCAACAAACAGCUGUGCUACAGACUUUUUUACUUUAUUUUCAGGCAAUGGAGAAUCACUGAAGGAUUUUUAAGGGCGUACACUGUCAUCAGCUUUUGUGUCGAAAUGUAGGAGGAGGGGGAUCCUGUGUGAAAUGAGAAGACCACCUGACUAGUGAUUUCAGUAUUUCAGGCCUAAGGAUUGUUCUUAGCUCUGAAUUUCAAAAAUAUGAUGGAUUUAUUCUGCUUGAAAAUAACAUUCUUAGGGAUGAAAGACAUUUGGGAAAUCCUGGAACAAGAAAUUAUCCAACCUCUACAAAGCAAUUAGCAGUCAAUCAAAGUAUAUUUAUUUGCUUUUCAUAAAAAAACCCGCUUCAUUGUUUACAUGACUGCAUUGAAUUUUUAUGAAGCCCAUAAUAGAAACUUACUGACUCAUCGACAGAGCUUGAAUUGAUUCAGAAAAUACUGUGAUAAAAAUCUCAGCUUGGUAUUUUUGGCCUUCUCAUAGAGGAAAGGAUCUCAGCAGCUCUUUAAAACAAAUCCUGAAAACAUAGUCCAUUACUUGAGAGUUUGUUUUUUUGUUUAUAGCCAUCCUGUAUCUGGGUUUUGCCCUGUAUUAAUCAUUUAGUGGCAUCCUUUGGUCUGCCUUGAAACAACAAACAGACGAUGCAAAUUGCAACCACAAAGUUCAUUUAACAAACACUGGGAAGCAAAUGAAUCACAGGACCAUUGGAAGAUGGAUUUUUAACUUGUAACUGAAGCACAAAAUAAGACUUGUGUCUAAGCCAGCAGCCUUUCUCCUUUCACAGAAGAUGUGAAAUGUG
rnacentral:lncRNA from 12 species